UACGUAGGGGGCAAGCGUUGUCCGGAUUCAUUGGGCGUAAAGAGCGUGUAGGCGGCCAGGUAGGUCGGUUGUGAAAACUGGAGGCUCAACCUCCAGACGUCGACGGAAACCGUGUGGCUAGAGUCCGGAAGAGGAGAGUGGAAUUCCUGGUGUAGCGGUGAAAUGCGCAGAUAUCAGGAGGAACACCGAUGGCGAAGGCAGGUCUCUGGGCCGAUACUGACGCUGAGGAGCGAAAGCGUGGGGAGCGAACAGG
rnacentral:rRNA from 1 species